rnacentral:rRNA from 1 species
GACGAACGCUGGCGGCGUGCUUAACACAUGCAAGUCGAACGGAAAGGCCCUGCUUUUGUGGGGUGCUCGAGUGGCGAACGGGUGAGUAACACGUGAGUAACCUGCCCCUGACUUUGGGAUAACUUCAGGAAACUGGGGCUAAUACCGGAUAGGAGCUCCUGCUGCAUGGUGGGGGUUGGAAAGUUUCGGCGGUUGGGGAUGGACUCGCGGCUUAUCAGCUUGUUGGUGGGGUAGUGGCUUACCAAGGCUUUGACGGGUAGCCGGCCUGAGAGGGUGACCGGCCACAUUGGGACUGAGAUACGGCCCAGACUCCUACGGGAGGCAGCAGUGGGGAAUAUUGCACAAUGGGCGGAAGCCUGAUGCAGCAACGCCGCGUGCGGGAUGACGGCCUUCGGGUUGUAAACCGCUUUCGCCUGUGACGAAGCGUGAGGGACGGUAAUGGGUAAAGAAGCACCGGCUAACUACGU